rnacentral:misc_RNA from 1 species
AAAAUAAAAUUAAAAAAAUGUCACCUGUUUUUUGUUCUUUCUUCUAGAAUAAACCAUACCUCGGAUCCCAUCCGGGUCAGCAACAAAACCCAAAGGCCUAUAGAACCCGAGAACUCGGGGCUCCGAAUAAAGAGCAAUAUUCGUAAUCCCUUUGCGUAACAGUUUGGUGACUAAUCUCUCCAUCACAGCUUUCCCCAAUCCAAUCCCUUGGAAAUUCGGAUCCACCACAACAUCCCAAAUAAUCGCAUUGAAUACGCCAUCGCCGGUGGCUCUGGCGAAGGCUACCGGCCGUUUUGUUUUCUCGUAUUGGAUCCAUAAAAGUGAAUCGGUGUUCUCUAAUGCGAUUUGGAUUUUCUCCGUGUCGCGUCGGGGAAAUCCGACGGCUACAAAGACGGAGUUGAGGUGGUCGAGGUUGAGAUCGGUGAUUGUACUGUGGAGAUUGAAUCCUUUUGAACGGAGAGAUUCAUCGGAGAUUGAGAGGUUUGUGGUGGUGAACGGAAUGGGAAUGGGUUGGAUUUGAGAGAAAACGGUGAGGUUACGGUGGUGGACGGUGGGUUUGAGGGUGAAGGGGGUGGAGAUGGGGUUAAAGUGAAGCAGCAUUGUUCAUGGUGAAAGGUAGGAGGAGAAAGAGGGGUAUAGAGAGAUGAAAAUGAUGAGUUUACAUAGAUAGGAUUUUUGUGU